rnacentral:rRNA from 1 species
CCUACGGUGAGCAGCAGUCGAGAAUCAUUCACAAUGGGGGAAACCCUGAUGGUGCGACGCCGCGUGGGGGAAUGAAGGUCUUCGGAUUGUAAACCCCUGUCAUGUGGGAGCAAAUUAAAAAGAUAGUACCACAAGAGGAAGAGCCGGCUAACUCUGUGCCAGCAGCCGCGGUAAUACAGAGGUCUCAAGCGUUGUUCGGAAUCACUGGUCGUAAAGCGUGCGUAGGCUGUUUCGUGAGUCGUGUGUGAAAGGCGCGGGCUCAACCCGCGGACGGCACAUGAUACUGCGAGACUAGAGUAAUGGAGGGGGAACCGGAAUUCUCGGUGUAGCAGUGAAAUGCGUAGAUAUCGAGAGGAACACUCGUGGCGAAGGCGGGUUCCUGGACAUUAACUGACGCUGAGGCACGAAGGCCAGGGGAGCGAAAGGGAUUAGAUACCCCAGUAGUC